rnacentral:rRNA from 1 species
UCGGGAAUUUUGGGCAAUGGGCGAAAGCCUGACCCAGCAACGCCGCGUGAAGGAUGAAGUAUUUCGGUAUGUAAACUUCGAAAGAAUAGGAAGAAUAAAUGACGGUACUAUUUAUAAGGUCCGGCUAACUACGUGCCAGCAGCCGCGGUAAUACGUAGGGACCAAGCGUUGUUCGGAUUUACUGGGCGUAAAGGGCGCGUAGGCGGCCAGAUAAGUCCCGGGUGAAAUCCCUCGGCUCAACCGAGGAACUGCCUUGGAAACUGUCUGGCUCGAGGCCGGGAGAGGGUAGUGGAAUUCCCAGUGUAGCGGUGAAAUGCGUAGAUACUGGGAGGAACACCGGUGGCGAAGGCGGCUACCUGGACCGGUCCUGACGCUGAUGCGCGAAAGCGUGGGGAGCAAACAGGAUUAGAUACCCACGUAGUCCCUGAGCGGGCUGGCAAGGCGCAU